rnacentral:lncRNA from 1 species
AAAAAAAAGGCCCAAACAAGUAAAACUAAAUAUCAUAAAAAUAGAAUCAAUAAAGGGGAAAAUUGAAGCUAACUCUAAAGAACAAUGUGGUCAUUGUCAAACUGUCUCCAGAAAGCGAUGCUGUCAGCAAGCAGGAUUUAAUCAAGCUAUGGUUGCAGGCCAUGAUGUUAAAGAAAGGAUCUACAUAUAGUAAUUUCUAGUAAAAAAAGGGGCAUAAACAGAUCAGAAUGUGAGAGACAGAUGAAAGAGAUAAAAAUGACCAGCAAUAAAAGAGCAUUGCAUGCCCAUUAACUGAUAUUAAUACCCUUACCAAAAACAAACGGUAAUGGCUAUAAAUUUUUGCUUCUAUUAUACAACUGCACAAUUAUGGUGGCAUAGCUGAUGAUUUACAAUUGAAAACAACUCCACCAAAAUAAGAAAGGUAGGCUCAACUAGUUUGAAUGCACUCAGCAGCAGUCUAACAUGUAGAUUUUAUUGUUUGUAGAAGAGCUUUAAAACUUUGUAAAUAUAUUAGGAGGGACUCAUAGUUGCAGAACAAAGGAUAACAGGAACCACCAUCCAUGUUUAUUAAUAAUGUAUCAUUUCCUUAUCUUUUUAUCUAUUUUUAUUGCUAUUUACUGAUGGUAUCUGUAGAUUGAAAAACAUAAGGGUUAAUGUAAUUUUUGGCUCUUGAACUUGGCAACUAAGUCUACUUUGUUACCUGUAUGUUCUUUUUUUGUACCUAACCUUGGCAAUUAGGUUCAUGAUCCUCCAAUGAAUAAGCAACAGGUACCUGAAGUAGGCAAUUAGGUACCAAAGUGAACCUGAUUGCCAAGUUCAGGGACCAAAAUUUAUAUUAACCCAAAAAUAAUGAUACAAAAAAUUCCAUAAAAUAUGAAUGCAAAAAUAAGCAACAGUGAAAAUAGAGAUCUUUCUUGUGCAGGUAGGACAAAGUGAGAUUAUAAAACUCAUCAGUCAUUCAAUAUCAGUAUUUAAAAUUUACCCAACAAAAAGCAAAUAUUUGAACGAAACUCAUGCUUAAAAGAAUAGCAGAAAUAAUGGAGCAUUUGAGGAAGGAUCCACUUGGUUGAUGUUUUCAUUGACUGCCUGAUGUACCACAACAGGCAAGAAGCAGAGAUCAUUGAAGUAUCAUGCAAAGCCAAACAAUGAACAAACCAAGGUAAAAUAAUGAAGAUAGGGAAAUACAUUUUCAAGCAACAUCAUUGGAGCAUCAUGAGGUUACUAACCGAAAAAAAGAAGAAAAGAGAACUACCUUGAACAGAUUAUUCAUUGAUAUAAACAGGUGACAUUUUAGUUCCUUACAUUAAAGGCACAUGGUCAAAGUACCAUGGAGACCGCUGUACUAGGAGUCAGAUUGCAUUUUGGACACUUUACUCAAAAAAUGGACAAAUUAGUCCCUGUACGUUAAAUUAAAGAGUUAACUAGUUCUUUCUGUUAAAGUUUUCAUGCAUUUCUACCAUUAAAAAUUGGUGUAACUGAUAGAAUAAUCAGACAAUUACACGUGACGUGUCAUGUCUACCUCAUGUUGAGGUACAAGGACCAGUUUUUAACAGUAGAAUGGAAGAAAUUUUUAAUAGAAGUAUCAGUUUGCUCUUUGAUCUAACAUACAUGGACUAUUUUGCUCAUUUUUUAGUAGAAGGGGCAAAAUGCAAUCUAACUCCUAGUACAAAAGCCUCUAUGGUACUUUUACCAUGGCACAUAGAUUUAAUAGAACACGAUAGAAAUAUCAAGCACCAUGAACCUGAAGGCUAUCUUUUGGGUGAAUAAUCGUGCAGUUCUGAAACAUCAAAUAAAGGGUAAUUGUUGUUUAAAGGUAUCGAUGCAAACCAAGUAGACUUUGGCAUAUGUCUAUCUUCAUGGAAAUGCAGACUUAUUGUUUUUCAUUUUGUAGUAAAUGAAACCAUUAUACAUUUUUUUCAGAGGUUAAAAAACUUUGUAAAGCAGUUAUGCAGGCCCCAAUUUUUAAAAUGAAACAGCAGAUUACAAAAGCCUAACACAAGAAAGUAAACAAAGAGUGAUGAAUCUUUAUAUACAUGUAUCCUUCUGACUAAUGAGAGCCUAAACAUUUCCGUAUGGUGUCAGCUUUUACGAGUUGAUAACAUUUUUGGAACACAAUGCAUCAUCGAUGUUAGAUCCAUGACAUUGAACCUUUUUUUGUCCUUAAUAAUCAGAUAUGACCUAAGGGCUUAUUAUAUCAUGAACCUGAUUGAUAUGAAAUGCUAUGCUUCUUUUUUUCGUUAGGAGAAAGAGCAGGGGUUCUACAGGGAUCAAACUCGAGACUGAUAUUAUGGCGUCAACUGAAGUUGACAAAAUGCUAUGCUAUGUUUCAAUGGUAGAAUUCAAUCUCGAAUUUGCUAAUUCACUUUGACCACAAUAAUGACAGCAACUGUUGCAAUAAUACAAAGAUAUUUCUUAAACAGAAUGUACUCUUUCUCCUAUAUAUAUCUUCAAAUUUCAAUCUCAUUUUUACCUAAAAUCAGGUUCGAACUUCAAAUGACUAAUCCAAAAUUGCUAUAAAAUGAAAUAAGUCUCAAGAACAAUAUGUGCGUUAAUUUCUGGACAUACCUGAAGUUUCAAGAACAAUUCCUUCAAGAAAUAAUGAGCUCACCAAGGCUCAAUCAAGCCAGUAGCCAGUAGAAAAGCAAUCUCAUUUCUUCUCGGCUCAGAAACGCAGGUUCCUCCACCGGCGACCGCCCUAUAAUCUGACGCCCCUCUCUCUUUUUUCCCUUCUUCUUGGGCUGCCGCUUAAGCCGCUUACGCUUGACUUGCGGGAGGGUGAGGAUGAAGAAGAGCAAGAGCUCAGCCCUGUGCGGCGGGCUCCUCGACGGUAGGUUUCUGAGUUUUGAUCGAAAUUUAGGGUUUUCCGGGAGGCGAAGCGGCGAUGAUCGGGUUCGUCAGGGAAAGAGAGUGGAUUUGUAGCGGCAGUUUCAGUUUAAUUGGAUAAACAGUAGACUGUUGGUUAUUUCUCUUGUCUCCCCAAAAAUCAACUAUUUAUGUUUAUGUCCAUCGUAUUUUACUUUUUCUAUUUUCUAUUCUACCAAAAUUCAUUGAGUUACUGGGGCGGCCAUGUAAUCUUUAUUAUCUAAAAUUUAAAAAAUAUUUUAAUAGUUAUUUAUGGAAGUAAAACCGUUUGAAUGUUACUUAUUGUAAUUGAGGAACCAUUAUUACUUAAUUUUACGAAUUAUCAAUAUUCUUG